UUGGGGUCCCUGAUACCGGGAGCACUACAGAUUCAAACGCUUUUUAACAUUUCAUCUUAUAAGGUCUAUGUUUCAAUUAAAAUUUCUGCUUUUUCACAAACUAGUCGGACAUGAACAUUGCAAGGCGAUGGUGGUCAAUUCUGUUGCUGGACAACUUUCCACCAAGGCUGUCAUCUGGCAAAAGCAGAAAAAGGAGGCCACAGACAACCAACACAGCAGGACAGUGUGGUCAUAUUUUCUUUCUUAAGUUUCUCUGGACAAUUCAUGACUUUAUAGAGACUGUGAUCUGUUCUACAUUAUACUUGACAUAUGUGCAUGGCAAGGUUGUGUUAGACGAUUUCAUAGUGUUUUAUAGUGAUUGUUCAAUGAAACUCAUUUUUACCUUGAUGCAGCGGUGGAGGCCCUGACUGUGGAGGAGUCCCCCCCUCCUUGUAAAAGACCAAGUGUGGAGACCACAAACAUCAUGUCAGACCUGACAACUGCAGUGGAGUGGACAAGGCGCCAUAUGACGCGGUUCCAGGGACGUGUCUCCUUUCCCACAAUUAUUCAUAUGACAGAGGCGGAAAAAGAGGAUGCACUGCGCAAGCUGAAAACCGCAGAUGACCUGAUGACCCAUGACCUGGAGACUAAAGACCCCUUCUUGUUCAUUUUCACACACCAAGAGGACAUGGAGGU